rnacentral:lncRNA from 1 species
CAACAUCCCAACCCCUAAACCACAUAUAUUCUUGUAUGGGACAAUAAAACAAAUCAAAUGAAAUGUAGGUAAAGUCUCUGGGGGUUACCACCACCCCGUCCUGUUUGAAUAUUUGUAAAUGGUGGAGAUCCCCACCCGUAAGCCAUAUAUAUUCUUGUAUUGGACAAAAAAUCAAAUCAAAUGAACAUGGGACCAUAUAAAUGGCGAGUUAUGGGAGCUUAGUUUGGGAGACUUCGUAACAGCAUCCUGUUACAAUUACUUCUUGUUA